GGAAAUUCCAAACAUAUCUCACUUGCUCUUUCCUUCUUCACUCUCAGUUUCCGUCUUUAUCUCCUUAGGCUUGGUUUAGAGAAUGGAAAAUCCGGUAAAAAGGGUGUUGCUUACCUCUAAUGGGGACGAGAUUUCUCAGAAUAUUGCUUUCCAUUUAGCCAAGCGAGGAUGCAGGUUGGUCUUGAUGGGAAACGAGAACUGUCUAAAAAGUAUCAGCGAGAAGAUAGCAGGAACAGUAAGGGGUAUUGUGCCUGUGGAGAUUGUAGGAAUGGAUAUGGAGGAGGAAAGGGAGGGAGCUUUUGAUGACGCAGUGUGUGAGGCAUGCAGGAUUUUGGGGAAUUUGGAUGCUUUUGUACAUUGCUACGACUAUGAAGGAAAGAUGCAGAACCCUUUAGAAUUAGUUGAAGAUGAGUUCAAAAAGAUAGUGAAAAUAAACUUUAUGGCUCCAUGGUUCCUACUAAAGGCAGUUGGAAGAAGAAUGCGUGACAAUAAGUUGGGAGGUUCAAUUGUCUUUGUGACCUCAAUAAUCGGUGCUGAGAGAGGAAUUUAUCCAGGUGCUGCUGCUUAUGGUUCAUGUUCAGCUGGAAUCCAGCAAUUAGUUAGAGUAAGUGAAUGUGCUCAUAGUCCUCAUAUUUCUUUGUAUUUUCAUUUGUGUGCAUGCAUUUGUGAUGAAACAUAUAUGAAACAUUUUUCCCUCAAUACCCAAAUGUGGGACUUAACACACUCCCUCACAUCUAGGACUAGACAUUUGGAGCUUGAAGUUUUGCAGGAUUGGACAUCUGCGAGCGGCUCAACAUUUAGAUUAGGUUGGCUUUGAUACCAUGUUGAUAAAAUGAACAGAUCCUAAUUCCACUCCAAAAGGCACCUUGUGAGGAAAGGAUUGCUUAGGUCAUAUGUGAAGCAUUUUUUCUUCCAAUAUUUGCUUUGUGGGAAUUGCUUGAAUUCAUUCUUGAGCCAAUGGGUUGGAGUUUAGAUUUUCUGCUUUUAUAUCACUGCUGCUCUGUAUUAUCCUGUUGUGGUAAAAAAAGGUUAUCUUUAGGAGUUCCUUGUGGGUGUAUUUUUUUUUUCCGAUACAAGUCCUGGUUAUCUUUCCACUGAGACAUAAUAAAAUCUGGUCAUAAUUCCUGUUUUUGAGGAUGGAAGUUAUUAAUGCCUUCAUCUCUGAUUAUUGUUUUCAGCAUUCGGCUAUGGAAAUUGGUAAAUACAAAAUCAGGGUGAACGCAAUUGCACGGGGUUUGCACCUACAAGAUGAAUAUCCCUUAGCAGUGGGGAAGGAGAGAGCAGAGAAGUUGGUCACAGAGGUAGCGCCGCUCCAGAGAUGGCUUGAUGCUAGAAAUGAUCUAGCAUCAACUGUCAUUUAUUUAAUAAGUGAUGGCUCACUCUACAUGACUGGGACAACUAUAUUUGUCGAUGGAGGGCAGUCUUUGUCGAGGCCUCGGAUGCGAUCUUUCAUGUGAUACUUUUUUUUCUCUCUUUUAUUUCAGUAUAUAUGGUAGUGGAAUGAGAAAGGGUGUCAUAUUCAUGUUUACAAAUUCAUCAAUUUUAUGGGGCUAUUCGGUUGAGUAGCAUCACGUCUAUAGAACAUUAAUUUUAUGUAAAGUUUUUCAGUUAUCUUGCAAUGUUUUGUUAAUGACCCAAGAAGAGGAAUUUCUCUUCUGGUCUUUCUGAAGUUAUAAAAAAAAAAGCUCUGCUUAAUCUUGUUAUCAUUUUCAACAUCCG
rnacentral:misc_RNA from 1 species